rnacentral:rRNA from 2 species
GCCCGUACCGCAAACCGACACAGGUAGGCGGGAUGAGAAUUCUAAGACGCGCGGGAGAACUCUCGUUAAGGAACUCGGCAAAAUGACUCCGUAACUUCGGGAGAAGGAGUGCUCCCCGGGGUGAAUAGCCCGGGGGAGCCGCAGUGACAAGGCCCAAACGACUGUUUACCAAAAACACAGGUCUCUGCGAAGCCGCAAGGCGAAGUAUAGGGGCUGACACCUGCCCGGUGCUGGAAGGUUAAGAGGAGGGGUUAUCCCUUACGGGAGAAGCUCCGAAUCGAAGCCCCAGUAAACGGCGGCCGUAACUAUAACGGUCCUAAGGUAGCGAAAUUCCUUGUCGGGUAAGUUCCGACCCGCACGAAAGGUGCAACGAUUUGGGCACUGUCUCAACGAGAGACCCGGUGAAAUUAUAUUACCUGUGAAGAUGCAGGUUACCCGCGACAGGACGGAAAGACCCCAUGGAGCUUUACUGCAGCUUGAUAUUGGAUGUUGGUACAGCUUGUACAGGAUAGGUAGGAGCCUUGGAAACCGGAGCGCCAGCUUCGGCGGAGGCAUUGGUGGGAUACUACCCUGGCUGUACAAACAUUCUAACCUCGAACCGUGAUCCGGUUCAGGGACAGUGUCAGGCGGGCAGUUUGACUGGGGCGGUCGCCUCCUAAAGUGUAACGGAGGCGCCCAAAGGUUCCCUCAGAAUGGUUGGAAAUCAUUCGCAGAGUGCAAAGGUAUAAGGGAGCUUGACUGCGAGACUGACAAGUCGAGCAGGGACGAAAGUCGGGCUUAGUGAUCCGGCGGCCCCGUAUGGAAGGGCCGUCGCUCAACGGAUAAAAGCUACCCUGGGGAUAACAGGCUAAUCUCUCCCAAGAGUCCACAUCGACGGGGAGGUUUGGCACCUCGAUGUCGGCUCGUCGCAUCCUGGGGCUGAAGUAGGUCCCAAGGGUUGGGCUGUUCGCCCAUUAAAGCGGCACGCGAGCUGGGUUCAGAACGUCGUGAGACAGUUCGGUCCCUAUCCGUCGCGGGCGCAGGAAAUUUGAGAGGAGCUGUCCUUAGUACGAGAGGACCGGGAUGGACACACCGCUGGUGUACCAGUUGUUCCGCCAGGAGCAUCGCUGGGUAGCUACGUGUGGACGGGAUAAGUGCUGAAAGCAUCUAAGCAUGAAGCCCCCCUCAAGAUGAGAUUUCCCAUCACAUUCGUGUGAGUAAGAUCCCUCAAAGACGAUGAGGUAGAUAGGUCUCGUGUGGAAGCGUGGCGACACGUGAAGCUGAGAGAUACUAAUCGAUCGAGGGCUUAACCAA